rnacentral:rRNA from 1 species
UACGUAGGGGGCUAGCGUUGUCCGGAAUCAUUGGGCGUAAAGAGCGUGUAGGCGGCCCGGUAAGUCCGCUGUGAAAGUCGGGGGCUCAACCCUCGAAUGCCGGUGGAUACUGUCGGGCUAGAGUGCGGAAGAGGCGAGUGGAAUUCCUGGUGUAGCGGUGGAAUGCGCAGAUAUCAGGAGGAACACCGAUAGCGAAGGCGGGUCUCUGGGCCGAUACUGACGCUGAGGAGCGAAAGCGUGGGGAGCGAACAGG